rnacentral:rRNA from 1 species
ACCCGCACAAGCGGUGGAUGAUGUGGUUUAAUUCGAUGCAACGCGAAAACCUUACCCACCUUUGACAUGUACGGAACCCUUUAGAGAUAGAGGGUGCUCGAAAGAGAGCCGUAACACAGGUGCUGCAUGGCUGUCGUCAGCUCGUGUCGUGAGAUGUUGGGUUAAGUCCCGCAACGAGCGCAACCCUUGUCAUUAGUUGCUACAUUCAGUUGGGCACUCUAAUGAGACCGCCGGUGACAAGCCGGAGGAAGGUGGGGAUGACGUCAAGUCCUCAUGGCCCUUAUAGGUGGGGCUACACACGUCAUACAAUGGCUGGUACAAAGGGUUGCCAACCCGCGAGGGGGAGCCAAUCCCAUAAAGCCAGUCGUAGUCCGGAUCGUAGUCUGCAACUCGACUACGUGAAGUCGGAAUCGCUGGUAAUCGUGGAUCAGAAUGUCACGGUGAAUACGUUCCCGGGUCUU